GAUGAAGAACGCAGCGAAAUGCGAUAAGUAAUGUGAAUUGCAGAAUUCAGUGAAUCAUCGAAUCUUUGAACGCACAUUACGCCCCUUGGUAUUCCGAGGGGCAUGCCUGUUCGAGCGUCAUUAUAACCCCUCAAGCUCAGCUUGGUGUUGGGGCCUGCUGCACUGGCAGCCCUUAAAAUCAGUGGCGGCGCCAUCUGGCUCUAAGCGUAGUAAUUCUUCUCGCUAUGGAGUCCUGGUGGAUGCUUGCCAUCAACCCCCAAUUUUUCUAUGGUUGACCUCGGAUCAGGUAGGGAUACCCGCUGAACUUAAGCAUAUCAAUAAGCGGAGGA
rnacentral:misc_RNA from 1 species